AACGAACGCUGGCGGCAGGCUUAACACAUGCAAGUCGAGCGCCCCGCAAGGGGAGCGGCAGACGGGUGAGUAACGCGUGGGAACGUACCCUUUUCUACGGAAUAACGCAUGGAAACGUGUGCUAAUACCGUAUGUGCCCUUCGGGGGAAAGAUUUAUCGGAAAAGGAUCGGCCCGCGUUGGAUUAGCUAGUUGGGGGGGUAAAGGCCUACCAAGGCGACGAUCCAUAGCUGGUCUGAGAGGAUGAUCAGCCACAUUGGGACUGAGACAAGGCCCAAACUCCUACGGGAGGCAGCAGUGAGGAAUAUUGGACAAUGGGCGCAAGCCUGAUCCAGCCAUGCCGCGUGAGUGAUGAAGGCCCUAGGGUUGUAAAGCUCUUUCACCGGUGAAGAUAAUGACGGUAUCCGGAGAAGAAGCCCCGGCUAACUUCGUGCCAGCCGCCGCAGUAAGAC
rnacentral:rRNA from 1 species